rnacentral:rRNA from 1 species
CGAACUGCUCAGUAACACGUGGAUAACCUGCCCUUAGGUUUGGCAUAACUCCGGGAAACUGGAGAUAAUUCCGAAUAAACCAUUGAUGCUGGAAUGCUUUUUGGUUCAAAGGCUUCGGCUGCCUAAGGAUGGAUCUGCGGUCUAUCAGGUAGUAGUGGGUGUAACGUACCUACUAGCCUACGACGGAUACGGGUUGUGAGAGCAAGAGCCCGGAGAUGGAUUCUGAGACAUGAAUCCAGGCCCUACGGGGCGCAGCAGGCGCGAAAUCUUUACAAUGCAGGAAACUGCGAUAAGGGGACCCCGAGUGCCAGCAUCUUAUGUUGGCUGUCCACCUGUGUAAAUAGCAUGUGUUAGCAAGGGCCGGGCAAGACCGGUGCCAGCCGCCGCGGUAACACCGGCGGCCCGAGUGGUAAUCACUUUUAUUGGGUCUAAAGGGUCCGUAGCCGGUUUGAUCAGUUCCUUGGGAAAUCUGACGGCUCAACUGUUAGACUUCCGGGAAAUACUGACAGACUUGGGACCGGUAGAGGUGGGAGGUACUCCAGGGGUAGGAGUGAAAUCUUGUAAUUCCUGUGGGACCAUCAAUGGCGAAGGCGUCUUACUAGAACGGGUCCGACGGUGAGGGACGAAAGCUGGGGGCACGAACCGGAUUAGAUACCCGGGUAGUCCCAGCCGUAAACGAUGCUCGCUAGGUGUCAGGCACGGUGCGACCGUUUCUGGUGCCGCAGGGAAGCCCUGAAGCGAACCACCUGGGAAGUACGGUCGCAAGGCUGAAACUUAAAGGAAUUGGCGGGGGAGCACUACAACGGGUGGAGCCUGCGGUUCAAUUGGA